rnacentral:rRNA from 1 species
AGAGUUUGAUCCUGGCUCAGGACGANNNCUGGCGGCGUGCCUAACACAUGCAAGUCGAACGGAGUUUAUCAUCUGGCUUGCCAGAUGCUAAACUUAGUGGCGCACGGGUGAGUAACACGUGGGCAAUCUGCCCGGAAGACUGGGAUAACAGCUCGAAAGGGCUGCUAAUACCGGAUACCCUCACGAAGUCACAUGAUUUUGUGAGGAAAGAUUUAUCACUUCCGGAUGAGCCCGCGUCCCAUUAGCUAGUUGGUGAGGUAACGGCCCACCAAGGCAACGAUGGGUAGCUGGUCUGAGAGGACGAUCAGCCACACUGGAACUGAGACACGGUCCAGACUCCUACGGGAGGCAGCAGUGGGGAAUCUUGCGCAAUGGGCGAAAGCCUGACGCAGCAACGCCGCGUGAAUGAAGAAGGCCUUCGGGUCGUAAAAUUCUGUCAGGGGGGAAGAAUAAAUGACGGUACCCCGGAGGAAGCCCCGGCUAACUACGUGCCAGCAGCCGCGGUAAUAC